rnacentral:rRNA from 1 species
UACGUAGGUGGCAAGCGUUGUCCGGAAUUAUUGGGCGUAAAGCGCGCGCAGGUGGUUUCUUAAGUCUGAUGUGAAAGCCCACGGCUCAACCGUGGAGGGUCAUUGGAAACUGGGGAACUUGAGUGCAGGAGAGAAGAGUGGAAUUCCACGUGUAGCGGUGAAAUGCGUAGAGAUGUGGAGGAACACCAGUGGCGAAGGCGACUCUUUGGCCUGUAACUGACACUGAGGCGCGAAAGCUAGGGGAGCAAACGGG